GAGCAGUUCUCAUGUGUGUCUGAUGACUCAAAAUGUGAUGCUAGCACAGCAAUCUCAAUUUAGCAUCUCUGAACAGGGUCAAGCUAAAGUAAGCUAGCCUUAUUGCUAAUUUUGUUCCAAGGAAAGGUGCUAAUGCUCUGAACUGAAUGUUAUAUGAGCUUGAAUUGCUUGUUUUGGCAAGAUAUCCAAUAAGGGCCUUUAUCCUCUGUAGUAGGAUUCAAUAUGUCUGGCUUUGAGUGACAGUUAUAUUGAUACCGUUUAUUGACUUUAUUAUUAUUAUUAUUAUUAUUAUUAUUAUUAUUAUUAUUGUGAACCAUUAUUGGUGCUUGUUAUUCCAAAGAAAAAAAAUUCCUAUCCUUUUCAGUCUACUAUUGGACAAUGUUGACUAAUAGUAAUUUAUACAUUAUUUUAGGCAAAUCACUUUCACAUCCGGCCCCAAUCAUGUUAUGCCCACUUUUAACAAUGUAAUCAAUUAUGAUGUUAUAUAUAUACACACACACACACACACACACAUACAUAUAUAGAGCCGGAUGUUGCAUGCAACUUUUGGAAUGCAUCCAUUUUAAAUGCACAAUUAGUUUAUAUUAAUAAGUUUUAUUUUUGUUUUGGUUUAUUUAUUUACAUAAUUAUUCCGUCCAGUGCAUGUGUGUACUAUUGCAGUGUUGGGGGAAUUUUGAUGCCGUUGGCCUGUGUUAAGAACUUGUCUCAGAGCCCAUGCUGUCGUGACAUUUCAACAUGAGAGUCAGGUCUCUCUCUCUGUCUAAAUCUCUUUUUUUCUCUCUCACUCUGUUAGUCUUAUUGCGGUUCACCUGUUCAUUACAUGUCAACAGAAAGUGACAGUCUUCCUUCAGCCAAAGGGGGAAUGGCAGCUUCCUGUGACAGAGACGGAUGGAGAGCUGAAGGAGACCUCGAUGAGUGUUUCAAGAGGACCACAUUGUUUGGUGGUCAAAGUAGCUGAGGAAUGGCUGAAUGUUCUGGCUAAAGAGCAGCUCCAGAACUUUUCUGUUUAAAUUUGGGCUUUCAGAAGGUGGCAUGGGGUAGUAAACUGGAUUGUUCUUUGCUCUGUUAUUCCAAAUGGAUCAUUCAAAUGUGUGUUCAGUAAGAUUUAAAAAAAAUAAUUAUUACUUUUAUUUAGCAAGGAUACAUUAUAUUUAACAGACUAUUUUUAUUUAUUUAUUUUAUUUUAAAAUAUAUCACAGUAUCUACAAACAAUAUUAGACAGAAAACACUGUUUUCAACAAUGAUAAUAAUAAGAAAUGUUUCUUGGGCAGCAAAUCAGCAUAUCAGAAUGAUUUCUGAAGAAUCAUGUGACACUGAAAACUAGAGUAAUGAUGCUGAAAAUUCAGCUUUUAAUCACAGGAAUAAACUACUAUUUAAA
ensembl:lncRNA